rnacentral:rRNA from 1 species
UACGGAGGGUGCGAGCGUUAAUCGGAAUUACUGGGCGUAAAGGGUGCGUAGGUGGUUUAAUAAGUUAUGUGUGAAAGCCCUGGGCUCAACCUGGGAAGGUCAGAUAAGACUGUUAAGACUCGAGUAUGGGAGAGGGUAGUGGAAUUUCCGGUGUAGCGGUGAAAUGCGUAGAGAUCGGAAGGAACAUCGGUGGCGAAGGCGGCUACCUGGCCUAAUACUGACACUGAGGCACGAAAGCGUGGGGAGCAAACAGG